UACAGAGGGGGCAAGCGUUGUUCGGAAUUACUGGGCGUAAAGGGCGCGUAGGCGGCCUUCUAAGUCGAACGUGAAAUCCCCGGGCUCAACCCGGGAACUGCGUCCGAUACUGGAAGGCUUGAAUCCGGGAGAGGGAUGUGGAAUUCCAGGUGUAGCGGUGAAAUGCGUAGAUAUCUGGAGGAACACCGGUGGCGAAGGCGACAUCCUGGACCGGUAUUGACGCUGAGGCGCGAAAGCGUGGGGAUCAAACAGG
rnacentral:rRNA from 1 species